GACGAACGCUGGCGGCGUGCCUAAUACAUGCAAGUUGAGCGCUGAAGGUUGGUACUUGUACCGACUGGAUGAGCAGCGAACGGGUGAGUAACGCGUGGGGAAUCUGCCUUUGAGCGGGGGACAACAUUUGGAAACGAAUGCUAAUACCGCAUAAAAACUUUAAACACAAGUUUUAAGUUUGAAAGAUGCAAUUGCAUCACUCAAAGAUGAUCCCGCGUUGUAUUAGCUAGUUGGUGAGGUAAAGGCUCACCAAGGCGAUGAUACAUAGCCGACCUGAGAGGGUGAUCGGCCACAUUGGGACUGAGACACGGCCCAAACUCCUACGGGAGGCAGCAGUAGGGAAUCUUCGGCAAUGGACGAAAGUCUGACCGAGCAACGCCGCGUGAGUGAAGAAGGGUUUCGGAUCGCAAAACUCUGUUGGUAGAGAAGAACGUUGGUGAGAGUGGAAAGCUCAUCAAGUGACGGUAACUACCCAGAAAGGGACGGCUAACUACGUG
rnacentral:rRNA from 1 species